rnacentral:rRNA from 1 species
GGGUUAAGUCCCAUAACGAGCGCAACCCUUACUGUUAGUUGCCAGCCGGGGUAAAGUGCCGGGAACUCUAGCGGGACUGCCACCGUAAGGUGAGAGGAAGUGGGGAUGACGUCAAAUCAGCACGGCCCUUAUGUCCAGGGCUACACACGUGUUACAAUGGCCGGUACAAAGGGCAGCUACACCGCGAGGUGAUGCUAAUCUCGAAAGCCGGUCUCAGUUCGGAUUGAAGUCUGCAACUCGACUUCAUGAAGUUGGAAUCGCUAGUAAUCGCGGAUCAGCAUGCCGCGGUGAAUACGUUCCCGGGCCUU